UUCGAGGGAUCCUAGCGUUGUUCGGAAUCAUUGGGCGUAAAGGGUGCGUAGGCGGCCAAGUAAGUCAGUUGUGAAAGCCCCGGGCUCAACCCGGGAAGUGCUUCUGAUACUGCUUGGCUUGAGUAUUGGAGAGGUGAGCGGAAUUCCAGGUGUAGUGGUGAAAUACGUAGAUAUCUGGAGGAACACCGGCGGCGAAGGCGGCAAACUGGCCAGAUACUGACGCUGAAGCACGAAAGCGUGGGGAUCAAACAGG
rnacentral:rRNA from 1 species